rnacentral:lncRNA from 1 species
CCAAUUUUGGCCUCCCAGAGUGUUGGGAUUACAGGCAUGAGCCAUCGCACCUGGCCCCUUUCACACGGUUUUAAACUGGUUUGUUUACCAUGGCACUAAUUCCUUUCUUUAAGCGAAAGUAUUCUGAGUAAGAUUGAUGGAACAAUUAUUAGAUCUGCUGAUGCAAUAAAGAAAACCAGUUAAUGUGCAAUAUUGGAUUGGACAACUGAAUUUAAAGGCAAGUUAAAGUUCAAUAUUUUGAACAAUGUUUAAAUCAAGAUGAGCGAGAAGACAGAACUGUUAAAAGGUUUUAUUUUACAGCCAAGUGAAGGAUUCAGCUAUGUCCCAAAGGAUUAAACAAGAUGGUAUGCUUAAUAA